rnacentral:rRNA from 1 species
GAUGAACGCUGGCGGCGUGCCUAAUACAUGCAAGUCGAGCGAACAGACGAGGAGCUUGCUCCUUUGACGUUAGCGGCGGACGGGUGAGUAACACGUAGGUAACCUACCUAUAAGACUGGGAUAACUUCGGGAAACCGGAGCUAAUACCGGAUAAUAUUUCGAACCGCAUGGUUCGAUAGUGAAAGAUGGCUUUGCUAUCACUUAUAGAUGGACCUGCGCCGUAUUAGCUAGUUGGUAAGGUAACGGCUUACCAAGGCAACGAUACGUAGCCGACCUGAGAGGGUGAUCGGCCACACUGGAACUGAGACACGGUCCAGACUCCUACGGGAGGCAGCAGUAGGGAAUCUUCCGCAAUGGGCGAAAGCCGGACGGAGCAACGCCGCGUGAGUGAUGAAGGUCUUCGGAUCGUAAAACUCUGUUAUUAGGGAAGAACAAACGUGUAAGUAACUGUGCACGUCUUGACGGUACCUAAUCAGAAAGCCACGGCUAACUACGUG